rnacentral:rRNA from 1 species
UACGUAGGGUGCGAGCGUUGUCCGGAAUUAUUGGGCGUAAAGGGCUCGUAGGCGGUUUGUCGCGUCUGCCGUGAAAGUCCGGGGCUCAACUCCGGAUCUGCGGUGGGUACGGGCAGACUAGAGUGCUGUAGGGGAGACUGGAAUUCCUGGUGUAGCGGUGAAAUGCGCAGAUAUCAGGAGGAACACCGGUGGGCGAAGGCGGGUCUCUGGGCAGUAAACUGACGCUGGAGGGAAGCGAAAGG